rnacentral:rRNA from 1 species
UCGAGAAUUUUUCACAAUGGGGGAAACCCUGAUGGAGCGACGCCGCGUGGAGGAUGAAGGUUUUCGGAUUGUAAACUCCUGUCACUGCAGAGCAAAGCUUUCAUAUUAACACCAUGAAAGUCUGAUAGUAUGCAGGGAGGAAGGGACGGCUAACUCUGUGCCAGCAGCCGCGGUAAUACAGAGGUCCCGAGCGUUGUUCGGAUUCACUGGGCGUAAAGGGUGUGUAGGAGGUCAGAUAAGUCAGGUGUGAAAUCCCGCAGCUUAACUGCGGAACUGCAUUCGAUACUGUUUGACUAGAGGUCUGGAGGGGGAAGCGGAAUUCUUGGUGUAGCGGUGAAAUGCGUAGAUAUCAAGAGGAACACCGGUGGCGAAGGCGGCUUCCUGGACAGGUCCUGACUCUGAAACACGAAAGCCAGGGGAGCGAAUGGGAUUAGAUACCCCCGUAGUCC